UACGUAGGGGGCAAGCGUUGUCCGGAUUUAUUGGGCGUAAAGAGCGUGUAGGCGGCCAGACAGGUCCGUUGUGAAAACUCGAGGCUCAACCUCGAGACGCCGAUGGAAACCGUCUGGCUAGAGUCCGGAAGAGGAGAGUGGAAUUCCCGGUGUAGCGGUGAAAUGCGCAGAUAUCGGGAAGAACACCCGUGGCGAAGGCGGCUCUCUGGGACGGUACUGACGCUGAGACGCGAAAGCGUGGGGAGCGAACAGG
rnacentral:rRNA from 1 species